GGCUGAGACAUCGCUCCUCUCCUCCUCCCUGGAGCGGUGUCGAACAUACCGAAGGGUCUCUCUCCUCCUCCCUGAGACCCGAGGUAGAAAAAGACGGUGGCGCUCUCUCCUCCUCCCUGAGCGCCGCCGUUUUU
rnacentral:sRNA from 1 species